CGCGAACCCGCGAGUCUGAUCUCUCAAGAACCCCUGUGUGCUGAAACUCACACUUAGACCCCAGCACGCGAUCUCGCGUUUCCUACACUAUUUGAAAGCCCACACUUAGCCCCCCAACACGCGGGGUCGCGUGGCUCACACUAUUUGGCACUCACACCGUCAAAAUUCAGCUAUCAAACUCACUUGCAAGUUCAGCGGAAAAAGCCAUCAACAGUAGUAUUAAAUUUAAACCCAUUGAAUUCAGCAAUCAAAAUCUCGUCUGUUGUCAACAAAUUUAUCAAAUCUAAGGUUUUUCUUACAUUAUUUAGGAACUAGUGUUUAAAUUUGAAGGUAGGUGAAGAAAUGAUAACUCGUUCUAAACUCGUUGAGCAACUCAGAGACUACCAGAUCCGAUCUCAACACAAGUGUUCAGCUCUCACUGUCUUCUCUCCUAAGCCAUUUCUCUCAUCCCGACAUCAUGUUCCCUAGGAGUGGAGCUGGCUUUUGCCUCAUCCAGGUGUGAUGUUGCUGUGGCUGUCUUUUGGGCCUUAUUUUUUAGCAUGCUUGUCAUAUCAUCCUAUGUGGCCUUUUACUUUGAGCACUUCUGGAUUUCUUUCUUCAUUUUGUGCCCUAGUAUUUUCCUUCCGCUACGCCUAAGAAGUUGUAGGCAGGCAGUUGCCAGGAAGAGGGAUAGGAGAUUGUUAUUACCAUUGUCCAUGUGAACCACCUAUGCUAGUAAAGUACUUGCAGCUAUAUGAUUGGGCUAACAAAGGGCCCAUUACUCACUUCAAUUCAUGUGGCCUCUACUAAUCAAUUAUAGAGGAUGGAUCACUAAUCUUGGUCAACAGGCCCUAAACUGCCUCUCUGAGAUGGAUGGUACAGUUUCUUCCUACUCCUUAACCAUACACUAAAGGCAUGAGAAUUUGCAAAAUCUCCUUUUUCUGACAUGUAUACACUAUAUAGUUGAGCCAACGUAAGAGGCAAUACCUGUUAGUUUUUUCCUAUCAUUGGCUUGUAGAUUUCAUUCAGGUUCAAGAAAUAUAUGUAUCUAACAUUCUACAGAUUGAACUUUAUUUCUUCAGAUUUGAGGUGAAGGAGGUGUAAUUAAUUUUAAUCAGCAGAUUAGAAUAAAAUCUUAAAAGCUUUAUGAUGAUUA